rnacentral:rRNA from 1 species
UACGUAGGGGGCAAGCGUUGUCCGGAAUUAUUGGGCGUAAAGAGCGCGUAGGCGGUCCGAUAAGUCGGCUGUGAAAGUCAGGGGCUCAACCCUUGAAAGCCGGCCGAUACUGUCGGACUAGAGUCCGGAAGAGGCAAGUGGAAUUCCCGGUGUAGCGGUGAAAUGCGCAGAUAUCGGGAGGAACACCUAUGGCGAAGGCAGCUUGCUGGGACGGUACUGACGCUGAGGCGCGAAAGCGUGGGGAGCAAACAGG